rnacentral:rRNA from 1 species
UACGUAGGGUGCAAGCGUUACUCGGAAUUACUGGGCGUAAAGCGUGCGCAGGCGGUUGUGCAAGACAGAUGUGAAAUCCCCGGGCUUAACCUGGGAAUUGCAUUUGUGACUGCACGGCUAGAGUGUGUCGGAGGGGGGUAGAAUUCCACGUGUAGCAGUGAAAUGCGUAGAUAUGUGGAGGAAUACCGAUGGCGAAGGCAGCCCCCUGGGAUAACACUGACGCUCAUGCACGAAAGCGUGGGGAGCAAACAGG